rnacentral:sRNA from 1 species
GAAAAGAGAUUUUUUAAAUUAUUUUAUUUUUUGAAACAAGAUCAUGCCACUGCACUCCAGCCUGGACAGCAGAACAAGACUCCAUCUGGGGGUGGGGGGGGGGGGAAAGGAAAAUUUUGUGUAUUUGAGUGUUUGUACAUUUUAUUGUAUGCAUGGAAGAAAUCCUGGUAGAAGAUAAACCAAAAUAUGGUUGUAAGUAUAAUUAAUUAAAGUUGGGGAAAUGGAAAAAUUAAAACAGGAAGGAAUACUUAUGAAAUAUUUUGUUUUAAAAAAAAAAAAGAGGGUGACCAGGCGCAGUGGCUCACGCCUGUAAUCCCAGCACUUUGGGAGGCCGAGGUGGGCGGAUCACGAGGUCAGGAGAUCGAGACCAUCCUGGCUAACAUGGUGAAACCCCAUCUCUACUAAAAAUACAAAAAAUUAGGCGUGGUGGCGGGU